CUGGAGAUCACUCCUGUGUGGAGUUUUGGAGUGAGCAUUGAUAUCAGUGAGCAUCUUACUCUGCAAGCUUGGUGCUGUAGAUGGCACUGUUGGCCCAGAAAAGAAAUUCUCCUUCAGCAUGAAAAUGUUUAGCUGAUCCCCUUCAUCCCCAGACUACGAGUUCAAUUAAUGAUAUAAAACCAGCCCUUUCAACACAAGUGGAAUAACCACACUGCCGUCCAUCUCCUCAACAGCGCUACAGCUGCUUACACAAGGACCUACUUGUGCUGCUGCAAAGAAUUUGUUUCAAAAACAGAUACAUGCAAACAUGAAUUUACAUAAUAAUUGAAUCUCUAGAAUUUUCCAUUUGAAAUGCUACCCAAUGUAUUCUAAUCACUAAAAUCUGUUCUCCAAUCACUUGGCAGGGUAUAAAAUCAAACCAAUGUUUACAAAGAGAUAAAAAGAGCUAUAUCCAGCAUUCAGAAGAAGCUCUGUGUUUCUAUAUUUGAGCUAUGUGCCACAGGUACAGUUUUAUUCUUUGAUAACCAAAACAUGUUUCAGACUCUGAAAGAAGUGGGUGGAGCUCAGCCUUUGUUAGUUUUUCAUUGGCAAACUUGAAGUGGGUUGUGGUAUAACACAGUCAUUUCUCAUGCAUCACCCAUCUGCCAAACUUCGUGUUGUUACUUUGUUAAUGCAAUCAUUUUUGUUUUUCUCUCUGUGUGAAGAGAGCUGGAGCUGCCUUGAUGCUCAUUUUUGAACCCUCUGAAUCUUUCAACUACUUUCCAAUCAUCUGCAAUAAGAGUUUCUAACAGCUAAGGCCGUCAAAGGCUGAGCUUAAGCUCCUGUAACUAUAUUUAGGCACUUCAGCAGGUGGCCUGAAGUAUGAAAGUGCUCAGCCUGCAAGCUGCUGCUCAGCUACUUAAACACUGAAAUCCACAGACCGGCUGAGAGGUCAGGCCUGGAAAUACCCAGUCGUGUGCUAAGUGCCAGAAUAUGUUAAUGGGAACAUGGGAUCGAGUCUUUCUUUUUAGUUUGUUUGUUGUUUUGGUUUUUUAAAUUUUCUUUCCACUUUUAAAUUACGAAUGACUUUUCCUAGGUAAUGUUUUUUUUCUUUCCAUUGUCAUAGAAAAGCUGUUGUCUGAUAUCCCUGAUCAGUUCUGUCUUAACUCAUGCAAAGGUCAAUUCAGUUCAUCAGCUAGAGCUCACAUUUAAUGGAGAGACAGCAGCUAAUUUACCUUUCCAUUUAAAAACAGAUGCUAAAAUUCAGUGAUGAUUGCUUGUUAGUUAGUGUUUCAUAAGCAAAAGAUAAACUAUGUGCUAUUCUCCGUUUGUGCAAAACAGUACUGCCAUAUGGAAAUAGCUUGUGGACCACUGCUCAGUUUCCAGGCAGGUUCUGAAGUCUGAGCAUCUACUUCACAAAACAAAACAUAUGAUAAAAAAGGACACCUUGAUCUUUCUGUGAAGGUCACAUGUGGUGUGAUCAAUAAUCCAUUUGGCAAUGAAAUCUCUAUGAAAUGUUUCAGUGUUGAUGGAAUGUUAUAUUUUAGUGACUUAAAUGUUCUUUAUAAAACAGAAAAAA